rnacentral:lncRNA from 10 species
CCAGCCUGGGCAACAAGAGCAAAACUCUGUCUCAAAAAAUAAAAAUAAAAAAAAAUCAUAAAGCAAGAGUUUCUUGCAGCUCUAUAGAGGGUGUUAUUCAGCAAUACAGUGAUUUGCUAGAAGGAAGCAUCACACAACAGUACAAGAGUGACUCAUAGGAGAGAGAGAGAAGGAGAGAGAGAGCGAGAGCAUCCAGCCCAUGAGGCUCCCUCAGCAGGGCUCCAGCAAAGCCUGGAAGAAGAGGGCGGGAGGCUAAGGCACUCACGGUGUCUUACUCAACAUGGCAGCACUGUUGGGCAAGCAAUGCUACUACCAUUUACCAUGAGGAAAGGAGUUUCUGAGAGAUCAAAUGACUUUCCCAGAUCAGGCAGCUCGCACAUGCAGGUCUGGCAGGAAAUUAAAUAUGGUGAUGUGGGAAGCAGAGGAAGAAGCGAAAAUGAGACUGCAGACUUGCGCCACAGGGAAACCAGGAAAACAUAUAAAGCAGUUACAGUGGUGUAAAAUGUAGAAACUUCAGUCUGCUUAGUAUAGGGGCAAAAUGACCUUUAUGUCCCAAAAGGCAGGCUCUGAUAGUGUCUGAGGGUCUGUGCAUCAGGCACGAGAGAGCAAAAACAAAAAUUCAAAACUACCUCCAAAAUAUGUCCGAGUGUAUUUCCUUACUGUGCAAGAAAGAAUGCAAACUAUAAAAUAUGAAAAAUUUUUCUUCCAAAAUGAUUAAUAUAUUUUGAAGAAUUUUGAUUUUAAAGGAAACAAAUUCUCACUGACCAGUAAAACAUGACUAUCCAGAAUGGCUCAUUCCUGAAGGCUUCUGAUUUUGGAACCUAUGCCUGAGACCUCCUCAGAGCUGCUGAAAAAGCCUGAGAGCUGGGACUGGCACCACAGAAGUUCCUGACCUCCAUUCACUGCCCCGUCCAGACUGGAUGCAUUAGUGGACUGUAUUUUCAUUGGUUUCUCCUGCUGUUUAGUCCUGCUGUAAAUCCGGAACAGAGAGGGCAGCUCAGUAGGAAGGGUUCCAGCUCCCAUACCACCGCAGAGAUACAGAUAAAGUCUCAUCCAAAUACACACACACACACACCCAUACAUGCACAUACACACACAUUCAUAAACACAUAAUACACAUACACACACCCAUACACCCAACACACACAAAUACAUGCACACAUAUAUAUACACACACACCCACAAACACAUUUAUAGACAAUACGUACAUCCAUGUACACAUCCAUAUGCCCAUAUACACACAUAAACAACACACUCACAUGCACACACAUACACCCACACAAACAUAAACACAUACUUACACAAAUAUAGACACCCACAUAUCCAUCAACACAUACAUACAUAUACACACCCAUACACCUGUACACACUCAUACUCACCACACACAUCCACACACAUAUCCACACACAUCACACAUAUAUACACACAUCCGUAAACACAUACACACAUACACACCCAUACACACAUACACACAACACACAACACACACAUACAUAUACACACACAUACACCCAUGCACAUAUGCACAUUACACACAACACACAGACACACACACCCAUUCAGAUAGAUACACAUACACACAACACAUACACAUACAUACCAAUAUACACAUGCACACCAACACACACCCACACACCCAUACAUGCACACACAACAGAGACACACACAUACACGCACAAAACAUAUACACACACAUGCACACACAUACACACACAGCCCAUACACACGCACAAUAGAGACUCCAGAAUUAUCAGCCUUACAUUGUCACCAUUAGAGGCUCCUUCCUUUGAAUCUCUUAAAAGACCAACCUAAAAUUGGGGAAUAAAAAUGUGCAUUAUCUUCUUGGAUCUCACUUUAUGAUCUUAAGUGUGUUCCCUUGAAUCUGAAUCUUGGCUCCCCAUCCUUAAAAUUAGAGCAGUGAACAAAAAACAUAUAUUUUAAAGGGUGUUCUGCGGAGCCCUAGUCCCAGGAACUGUUAGGAGUUCUAAGGCCUUGCAGCCAGAUAAGAUUGGGAAGGCCUGGGUGUCUUACUGGAAUUUCUCAGGACAUUUAAUGUGCUGCUCUGUGAACAAAUCCUUCGGAAGCACCGUGUUAUCCACCCUUCCUUAAUUACUCUGACCAUGGAAUCCCCCUAGUGUGUAAGGUGCCUUAGGAAAUAGGCUUCCAAACCACUCAGCCCCGCCCUCGCAAGGUCCUCUGCAGCCAUAACACUCAUCACCCAAAGACGUAGCUGCUGUCAUCAUCCCCCUCAGAGGCUCAGAAUGUUAGCUUCAGCCUCACUAACAGCAGAAGGGAACGCCUGGGGACAGGACUGUUCUAGGUGAAGGAGGGGUUGGGGAUGUGCAGAUGGUAGCAGGAGGCUUUGUGAAGGAGAGGCCAAGGGGUUCACCAGGGCCAAACUUGGCAGCCUUGCUCACAGGAGUCUACAGAUGCUGCUAACUCAGCCUCAAUCUCAGACAGACGAUCUCAUCCCCACUGUGAACAAGACGUGUGCUCCUCUAGACAAGCAUGGCUCUGGGGCUGGCAUCUGAUUCCGAUACUUACUGGACCUACAUCUUGCAGGCCAUCUGCCCACAGGAAUUAUUCUAAUUCAACCCUCACAAGAACCCCAUGUGUUAGGUGUUAUCAUCCUUUUGGCCGAUGUGGAAACUGAAGUUCAUGAAGACCUUUUUUAUGGCUAAGGUUCCAUAGCCGGUAAGUGAUGGGACACUGAUUCUGUGACUUACCCACUGCUCUGUGCAGGG